rnacentral:rRNA from 1 species
CACGUAGUUAGCCGGGGCUUCUUAGUCAAGUACCGUCUGCUGACCCUAUGGUCAGUAUUUCUUCCCUGCUGAUAGAGCUUUACAUACCGAAAUACUUCUUCACUCACGCGGCGUCGCUGCAUCAGGGUUUCCCCCAUUGUGCAAUAUUCCCCACUGCUGCCUCCCGUAGGAGUUUGGGCCGUGUCUCAGUCCCAAUGUGGCCGUUCACCCUCUCAGGCCGGCUACUGAUCGUUGCCUUGGUAGGCUUUUACCCCACCAACUAGCUAAUCAGACGCGGAACCAUCGUAUACCACCUCAGUUUUUCACACUGCUUCAUGCGAAGCUGUGCGCUUAUGCGGUAUUAGCACCUAUUUCUAAGUGUUAUCCCCCAGUAUACGGCAGGUUUUCCACGCGUUACUCACCCGUCCGCCACUAACUCAUACUUCACUAGGUUUCAAUAUGAGUCCGUUCGACUUGCAUGUGUUAAGCACGCCGCCAGCGUUCAUCCUGAGCCAGGAUA